UACAGAGGAUGCAAGCGUUAUCCGGAAUGAUUGGGCGUAAAGCGUCUGUAGGUGGUUUUUGAAGUCGACUGUCAAAUCCCAGGGCUCAACCUUGGACAGGCAGUCGAGAACUCAAAGGCUAGAGUGCGGUAGGGGUAGAGGGAAUUCCCGGUGGAGCAGUGAAAUGCACAGAGAUCGGGAAGAACACCAGUGGCGAAGGCGCUCUACUGGGCCGAGACUGACACUGAGAGACGAAAGCUAGGGGAGCGAAUGGG
rnacentral:rRNA from 1 species